AUUGGGUUAUUGCUCAUGAUGGAGGUAAACCAGUGGAAACAUAAUGUAACAGUCAUGUGUGUCUGUGUGCCAGUUUGACUGCUGUGGCAUCGGUGAACCGGUUCAUCGGUCGGUGCGUGACACCUGUCCAGAAGGCACUUCGAAACGCUGCCCCGAUGCGAUCAGGGACAUGUUCAAGUCAAAAGCGCCUCUGGUGUUGGGUGGGUUCCUAGGGAUGGCAGGAAUCAUGAUGUUGGCACUGGUGUGCAGUGUCUUCCUCAGCAGACUUCCUAAGCAGACUCAUGGAUUCUCUCCUGAAUUUGUAGCCUAUUGGGAAAGGGUACAUAGGGAUUGUAUUCAAGAUUUGUGUCUUACAUUAGUGAAAAGUUAGUAGUUAACACCUAUGCAGGUAAUGCACGGUUACCAUGGACACAAACUAGUGCUGGGCAGUUUGACCAAAAAUCUGAAUGACUUUUUUUUUUGUUUUGUUUUGUUUUGUUUUUGGAUUCUGAUGGUUUCACAGUUUAUCAUGGGUUGUCCCAGGGUGGGCCUUAAUAAAAGUCAAAAUGCAUGAAACAACUAUAGAACCACUUUGAUCUCUGUCCAAAGAAAGAUGCUAAAUGUAACAUGUGCAGUUUUUAAUGUGAAUUAGAUCAUUUUAUAUAAUUUUACAAUUUAAAGCAAAGUAUGGUCUGGUUUUAGCUUUGUGAAAUUAUGCUACGUAAAACAUAUCUGCAUGAAACAAAAACAGCAGAAGGACUGAAUGAAAAUGCCAGCAGGUGGCGCUUGUUGAGCAGCAGCAAUACAGAGGCCAAGGGGGCAGCAUUUAAACCACAUAAAAUGAAAAGGGCCACAAAUUAUAAUUUGCUUUUUAAGACUUUAAGGCAAUAUUUUUUGCAACAAAAUGUUGCAAAUUUGAGAGCUCAUAUACAGGUUACAGAUUACAUUGAGCUGUCACCUUCAAACCCAACACCUCUUGGACUACAUUCAGUCAUGUGUCUCUACAAACUGUCAAGGAGGUGAUCACAAAAUGAAAGCUCUCACUGAUCCCUCUGUUUUAAAAACUUAUCGGCCAAUUUUGGCUUUACCAUUUAUUUUGAAAGUAAUGG